GGAAUAUUGGACAAUGGGCGCAAGCCUGAUCCAGCCAUGCCGCGUGAGUGAUGAAGGCCUUAGGGUUGUAAAGCUCUUUUGUCCGGGACGAUAAUGACGGUACCGGAAGAAUAAGCCCCGGCUAACUUCGUGCCAGCAGCCGCGGUAAUACGAAGGGGGCUAGCGUUGCUCGGAAUCACUGGGCGUAAAGGGCGCGUAGGCGGCCAUUCAAGUCGGGGGUGAAAGCCUGUGGCUCAACCACAGAAUUGCCUUCGAUACUGUUUGGCUUGAGUUUGGUAGAGGUUGGUGGAACUGCGAGUGUAGAGGUGAAAUUCGUAGAUAUUCGCAAGAACACCAGUGGCGAAGGCGGCCAACUGGACCAACACUGACGCUGAGGCGCGAAAGCGUGGGGAGCAAACAGGAUUAGAUACCCUGGUAGUUCCACGCCGUAAACGAUGAAUGCUAGCUGUUGGGGUGC
rnacentral:rRNA from 1 species